CAGGUUUGACUAGUGUUGUGUGCCCCAGUUUUCUGAAGAGUGAGGUGGAGAUGCACUGGAACCAGCAGAAUAGUUCUGCCUCAUCACCGACAGUCCAGGAAACUUCAGUGAGGAGAGACCCCAACCCCCAACCACAUCAGAUUCCUUGCCCUUCUCCCAUCUGAAUCCAAUCUGGACAGCUGAAGCCAGAUCCUACUAGUAGGGUGGCACCAGUGUUGUGGAAGGCCCUCCCUGCUGAAAUACAAGAGGAUACAUCUGUAUUGGCGUUCUGCAGCUCUUGAAGACACAUCUAUUUAGGAAAGGAUUCUCCUGAACUUGAACUUCCUGAUCUACUCAUUUUCAUUGCUCUUUUAACUGCUUUAAUUGUUAUGCUUUUUAACAGCAUUGUUUUAUUGUAAAUUUUACUUACAAGAUGUUUUAAUGGUUGAUGGAAUUGUUUUAUUCUGUAUUUUAAUCAUGAAUUUUAUAAUUGAUUUUAUUCUUGUAAACCACUUAGAAGCCAUUUUGGCAUGUAAGUGUAAUAAUAAUAAUAAUAUUAAUAAUAAUAAUAUGUUUCAAAAAUAAAAAUUGAACUGUCUUUUAAAAUGUUGAAUUCUGUACCAGAUAUACAAUUCCAUUUGUUUUGAACAUUUGUAUGCUGUUUUUCAGUGAUCAGAUUCCAAAAUGCAAAAACUGCAUGUGUACUGAUAAGCUAUUCAAUAGUUAAUGGAGAAUCAAAGAUGUGA